GCCAGCGUGGCUCAGUGGUUGAGCGCCGACCUAUGAACCCGGAAGUCAGGGUUCGAUUCCCGGUCAGGGCA
rfam:Myotis lucifugus cont2.19831, whole genome shotgun sequence.